ensembl:lncRNA
GGCAAUGCUGGCCCAUAAAAGCAGGACAAAGAUGAGCUGCUGCCAAGUAGUUCACUGCCUGGCAAGGACAAUAGGAUGUGAUAUGACUAAUCCACGGAUUCCAGGGAGGAAACGACACGCCGUGGAAAGCCUCUGAGGCUGUGAAUCCCACAGAAGAUCAGCGAUGUGGAGUCCACCCCUGAAGGAGAGACAGUCGUUUUACAAGCUGGGCACAUAUUCUAAUGCCCGUGUGACUGUCCUUUGGGACAGAUUGUCACUCUGACGGGAGUUCAUUGCGCAUUUGAGACGAGACGAAUGCUGACGGACUGGAAGAGAUGAGGACAACACAUCAUGUUCACUCAGUUGACACAGCUCCUUAAGCUGCUACAGCACAAAUAUGUGUAAAACAUAAAUCAGCUGUCCACAUCCUUUCAGUGUCAGUCGCCUUUAGCGCAACGAGAGGCGGCCGGCCUUGUGAAUUCCUGACAAUUAUAGCACCGGGGUGGGCCGCAACCCACCAUGAAAUCAGCCGUUCAGGAUGCCCGGACAAAAGAUGCCGGGGAGGUAAAGGGCAGGCAGCCAAGCAUCUUAUCAGCCCCGAUGUUGUCUUUCUUGGUUUCAAUCCCAGUGCUUUCCAGAAGAAGAGGAGGGCCCGACGAAGAAUGCAAUUUCUUUUGACUCGCAUUUCCACUCGAGCAGUUGUCAUGCUCGUGCCUUCAAACAAACCACUGCAAAAUGUGGAAAAAUGUCUCCGAUCAGACGAGUCGCAGCAGCGGCGGCGCGGGUACGGCAGAAAUUAUGUGAGACACAUCAAAGCAGACGGGCUGAAGUUGUCUUUGAUGAUAGGCGGUUUAUCUAGAUUAUGUUAUGGCAGACGAAUACAAAAAAGAUUUACACAACAUACGCUGAAACAGAUGUUAGCAGUAUGAGUUACCAUGGGAGUGCCCCUUUCUUUCAUUUUCCAGUCAAGAAAAUAAGUUACAGGGGUGUCAUGGUGAAUGACCCCACCCCUGCAGUUUAGUGCUCGACUGAGUUCGAUUUUGCUUGAACAAGGCCAAAUUCAAACUUGGAAUGAGAACAGCAUCCUCUACUGUACUCCUGGUAAAUCGCACAGACACCGAGCUGCAGCAGCAUUUUUUUUCUUUUUUUACUUUAAGCUGUACCCAUGAACUAAGAAACACACCCACUACAGUUGGGUGUAAGUCAAAACCAAGAUGAGUGACUGUGACUGGGAAACACACACAAACACACAAAGUGGACAAGGACGUGCUAACUAGCUGAAUAAAAUGGGUGUAUGUUCGGCAGCACUUUCCCUGUGCUAUUUCCUGGCCACCUGUGUGCCAGCUAGCAUGAAUAGGAAAGUAUUGUGCUUCUCUAUUUUUUACCAUCUCCCACAGUACUCUUUCCUCCCACUCCUCCUCCUCUCAGAGCACUCCAGCACAGACUAGGUCAGACUCCAUUUGAGAAAAACUGUGACCCACGCUAGUCAUUUGGCCAAACAUUUCCAAUAAAAUGGUUGAAUCAUGUGUGGGCUGUCUUUUUUUUAAACUUUCAGUUCAGUCCAGUGUGCCUCAUAGCCCCAGCAUUUCAUGUGAACCAUAAAUAGUUGAAAUGUUAAGGA